rnacentral:misc_RNA from 1 species
GAUGAAGAACGUAGCGAAAUGCGAUAAGUAAUGCGAAUUGCAGAAUUCAGUGAGUCAUCGAAUCUUUGAACGCACAUUGCGCCCUGUGGUAUUCCGCAGGGCAUGCCUGUUCGAGCGUCAUUUCAACCCUCAAGCCUCGCUUGGUGUUGGGCCCUGCCCGCCGCGGCCGGCCCUAAAGAUAGUGGCGGCGCCGCCUGGCCCUCAGCGUAGUACAGCUCUCGCUCCAGGGUCCGGCGGCAGCCUGCCAGAACCCCCCAACUCUGUGGUUGACCUCGGAUCAGGUAGGGAUACCCGCUGAACUUAAGCAUAUCAAUAGGCGGAGGA